UUUUAGAGAGAUAUUCUUAUAUGGCCAUAC
rnacentral:piRNA from 1 species